rnacentral:rRNA from 1 species
UGCGUAGGUGGCGGGGUAAGUCAGGUGUGAAAUUUCGGAGCUUAACUCCGAAACUGCAUUUGAUACUGCCUUGCUUGAGGACUGGAGAGGAGACUGGAAUUCACGGUGUAGCAGUGAAAUGCGUAGAGAUCGUGAGGAAGACCAGUGGCGAAGGCGGGUCUCUGGACAGUUCCUGACACUGAGGACGAAGGCCAGGGGAGCGAAACG